CAUUCAAGCAGUAGAUAUGUCCAUUCAUGGGGGAUGCUGGAAGCCUCCAGUUCUUGAAUGGGUUUGUAGUUUAUUAUCCAUUCAAGCAGUAGAUAUUUCCAUUUACUAUCGUGAAAUUUUCAAACAAUUGACAGUUGAUAUCUCCCAAUACCUGGUUAGAUAUUACAAGAGUGAAUUAUCAUCUUUGCUGGAAUUUGUGCAUUAUUCAAAGUAUAAUAUAUGUGCCUGCUAGUUAUCCUUGAUCCAUCAGAGUACUUGAGGGGAAAAAAAAUAUAGGACAAAGAUUAAAAAUCAAUCACUUGCUUUGUUCCACAAAGAAGGCAGUGUAGAAACUUCCAUGCAUAUUGUUCAAAAUUUUUGUUUGGAGCAGUCAGCUCCCUCGCUUCCUUUUACAUUGAGCACAGGUUAUG
rnacentral:misc_RNA from 1 species